GAUGAACGCUGGCGGCGUGCCUAAUACAUGUAAGUCGAGCGAACGGACGAGAAGCUUGCUUUUCUGAUGUUAGCGGCGGACGGGUGAGUAACACGUGGAUAACCUACCUAUAAGACUGGGAUAACUUCGGGAAACCGGAGCUAAUACCGGAUAAUAUUUUGAACCGCAUGGUUCAAAAGUGAAAGACGGUCUUGCUGGCACUUAUAGAUGUACCCGCGCUGCAUUAGCUAGUUGGUAAGGUAACGGCUUACCAAGGCAACGAUGGAUAGCCGACCUGAGAGGGUGAUCGGCCACACUGGAACUGAGACACGGACCAGACUCCUACGGGAGGCAGCAGUAGGGAAUCUUCCGCAGUGGGCGAAAGCCGGACGGUGCAACGUCGCGUGAGUGAUGAAGGUCUUCGGAUCGUAAAACUCUGUUAUUAGGGAAGAACAUAUGUGUAAGUAACUGUGCACAUCUUGACGGUACCUAAUCAGAAAGCCACGGCUAACUACGUG
rnacentral:rRNA from 1 species